CGCCCCGAAGGCGCGCUGUGGGGCGCAGGCGCAGGCCCGCCGCGAGGGGGCCCGAGGGCCCCGCCCGAGAGGGUGCAAGCCCCGUACGGCGGCCGCCGGGCCUGCGCGGCGAGUAGCGCUGCUUGAGCGUGCAGCGCGAAGGGAGGCGCGGCCCUUCCAAGGCUAAAUACGCCCCGGGACCGAUAGCGGACCAAGUAGCGCGAGCGAACGGUGAAAAGGACGCCCUGCGGCCGCUCAAAAGACCUGAACCCGGCCGGCCGCCGGCCCGCCGGCCCCGUCUCGAAACACGGACCGAGGAGCCACGCGCCGCGGCGAGCCCGAGGGAGCCCCCGCGGCGGAGCGAGCGCGAGACGCCCCGGGCCCGCCGCGCCCCUGCGGACGUGCGCGGGCCGAGCCGCGGCGCGUGGGCCCGAAAGGCGGUGAUCUAUGCCCGGCGAGGGCGAGGCCGGGCGAAAGCCUGGUGGAGGCCCGCCGCGGUGCUGACGCGCAGAUCGCUCGUCGGAGCCGGGCAUGGGGGCGAAAGACUCAUCGAACCGCCUGGUAGCUGGUUGCCUCCGAAAUGUCUCCCAGGACAGCCGCCGCCCCGCAGUUGCGGCCCGUAGAGCGCUGGCCG
rnacentral:ncRNA from 1 species